ensembl:lncRNA
AUGAGUCUGGAAGAAUCUGAUCUGUGUUCGAGUUCCACGGAACUGGGUCCAAGUGGGGACUUCCACCAGCCCAGCCACCCAGCUACUCAGAGGACUACUACUCCUGCUACACCCGUCACAGCUACAUCUUCUCCCCCCAUCAGCCCUCCUCCCACUUUAAGCACAGUGUCAGUUGAGUUAUAUACCGUGUACCACAGAGUGGUCACAUGGUCCUGGUACCAAACCUUCACCAGUCUCAUUGAAUGGUCAGACCACUCAGGGUCACUUGACACUCGAACAGAGGAACCAUCAGCUGUGUGGUACUUAGCUACACCUCCCACCCCUCCAGCCACCACACCCUCCACUGCAAAUCCAACAACCACACCCGUUCCUGUAACUUCAGCUCCAACAACACCAAGUCUCCAGACGGCCUCAGCACCCGGUGCCACUGAGACAUCCGCCCCCUUCGUCCCUCCAUGGCGGGACAAUGAGGCUUUGAGCACCCGGCGCCGUAAAGCCCGUCCUGUGGGAGCGGCGGGGGGGUUCUGUGUUUGGCUGUUUGCUGGGUGCCUGCUGCUGUGUGCAGCAUCAGCAGUGUGUGUGCUGGUGACUGCGGCGAAGCUGCUUGUCUGGUACAAGAGGGUGUACACACCGCUGACAACAGCGAGGAGGAGAGGAGGCAGAGAAGGAGUGAUGCUGUCAGCGUACAACAGGAGGACAGACAGGGAGGAGGCAGGAGGAGGAGGAAUACUGGCCCUGUACCGCUCCGUUUUGUUUGUCCACAGAGAUGAGGGAGAAGGAGGUGUGGACAGGGAAGGAGGAGGGACAGAAAGACAGCUUGUUACUCUGACGCCAACAGGAGGCGUAACUGUGGAGGAGGCAGGAGAAAGAGGAGGUGCAGGGUUGUACAGGAAGACACUGUACCGCCCGUUUAGCAGAGAGGAUGAGCUAGAGGGAUGGAGGGAUGUGAUGGAGGAGUGUCGAGUCUCUGCAGAGGGUGGAGGUAGAAGGAGAGGACGCACUUUUGAAGAGAUGCACAGAAUGAGGAGCAAAGGUGGAGGAGGAGCCUCCAAAAAGCACUACAGUGUCAUCCUGAGGGAGGAGAGGGAGGCAGAGGCAGGAGGAAGAGAGGAG